rnacentral:lncRNA from 1 species
AUCUGAAACUAGAGCUCAAAAUUUGAAAAAAAUGUCAAAAAAAUUAGGGGGUCGGCCUAUUCUAGGACUUCUAGAGAAAAAUAAUGAGGGUGUCACGGGGAAUGACUAUAUAGGUCUUGUAGAGGAGAAACAGGCGCUUCUUUUGCGCUAGGUAUCGAAGGGCGCUAUGUUCAAAAAUCUGAAACUAGAGCUCAAAAUUUGAAAAAAAUGUCAAAAAAUUAGGGGGGUCGGCCUAUUCUAGGACUUCUAGAGAAAAAUAAUGAGGGGUGUCACGGGGUAUGACUAUAUAGGUCUUGUAGAGAGAAACAGGCGCUUCUUUUGCACUAGGUAUCGAAGGGCGCUAUGUUCAAAAAUCUGAAACUAGAGCUCAAAAUUCGAAAAAAAUGUCAAAAAAUGGGGGUAGGGUCGGCCUAUUCCAGGAGUUCUAGAGAAAAAUAAUGAGGGGUGUCACGGGGA